rnacentral:rRNA from 1 species
UGCGUAGGCGGAUAGGUAAGUCAGAGGUGAAAUCCUACAGCUUAACUGUAGAAUUGCCUUUGAUACUGCUUAUCUUGAAUUAGGUUGAGGUCAGUGGAAUGUGGCAUGUAGCGGUGAAAUGCUUAGAUAUGCCAUAGAACACCAAUUGCGAAGGCAGCUGGCUAGGCCUUAAUUGACGCUGAGGCACGAAAGCGUGGGGAGCGAACAGGAUUAGAUACCCUGGUAGUCC